UACGUAGGGGGCAAGCGUUGUCCGGAUUUAUUGGGCGUAAAGAGCGUGUAGGCGGCUUUACAGGUCCGUUGUGAAAACUCGAGGCUCAACCUCGAGACGCCGGUGGAAACCGUAAGGCUAGAGUCCGGAAGAGGAGAGUGGAAUUCCGUGGUGUAGCGGUGAAAUGCGCAGAUAAUCAGGAGGAACACCCGUGGCGAAAGCGGCUCUCUGGGACGGUACUGACGCUGAGACGCGAAAGCGUGGGGAGCAAACAGG
rnacentral:rRNA from 1 species